UGGGGAAUCUUGCACAAUGGGCGAAAGCCUGAUGCAGCAACGCCGCGUGCGGGAAGACAGCCCUAGGGUUGUAAACCGCUUUCAGCAGGGAAGAAACUGACGGUACCUGCAGAAGAAGAUGCGGCCAACUACGUGCCAGCAGCCGCGGUGACACGUAGGCAUCAAGCGUUAUCCGGAUUUAUUGGGCGUAAAGAGCUCGUAGGCGGUUCGGUAAGUCGGGUGUGAAAACUCUGGGCUCAACCCAGAGAGGCCACUCGAUACUGCUGUGACUAGAGUGCGGUAGGGGAGCGGGGAAUUCCUGGUGUAGCGGUGAAAUGCGCAGAUAUCAGGAGGAACACCAGUGGCGAAGGCGCCGCUCUGGGCCGUAACUGACGCUGAGGAGCGAAAGCAUGGGGAGCGAACAGGAUUAGAUACCCUGGUAGUCCACGCCGUAAACGGUGGGCGCUAGGUGUGGGGAUCGUUUCCACGAUCUCCGUGCCGUAGCUAACGCAUUAAGCGCCC
rnacentral:rRNA from 1 species